CCUACGGGUGGCAGCAGUGAGGAAUAUUGGUCAAUGGACGCAAGUCUGAACCAGCCAUGCCGCGUGCAGGAAGACGGCUCUAUGAGUUGUAAACUGCUUUUGUACGAGGGUAAACGCAGAUACGCGUAUCUGUCUGAAAGUAUCGUACGAAUAAGGAUCGGCGAAAUCCGUGCCAGCAGCCGCGGUAAUACGGAUGAUUCAAGAGUUACCCGGAAUUAUUGGGUUUAAAGGGAGCGUAGGCGGUAGGACAAGUUAGAGGUGAAAUCCCGAGGCUCAACAUCGGAAUUGCCUUUGAUACUGUUCGACUAGGGAGUAGUUUCGGUAGACGGAAUGUAUGGUAUAGCGGUGUAAUGCUCAGAGAUCAUACAGAAAUCCGAUUGCGAAGGCAGCUUACCAACCUAUUUCUGUCGUUGAGGCAGGAAAGCGUGGCGAGCAAACAGGAUUAGAUACCCUGGUAGUC
rnacentral:rRNA from 1 species